AUUCUUUUUGGCGCGCAUUUUUACUACUAUGUAAGUACUGACCAUCAGCACUAAUACAUUAAUACUUUUAUGUACUUCGUGCAUUACUGCUAGUCCCCAUGAAUAUAUAGA
rfam:Pan troglodytes isolate Yerkes chimp pedigree #C0471 (Clint) chromosome 7, whole genome shotgun sequence.